rnacentral:miRNA from 1 species
UGCUGAGAGCAGCUCUGUCAGGAGCACGAGCCUGUUAUACAGCACUUGGGGAGGCUGAGGCAGGAGGAU